AGAAGGUGAAGUCUUCCAAUCUUCCAAGUUUGUUCUCGGUUUUUUGCUGUGGCCAGUUUUUUUUCUCCCCCCAGGGCCUCUUGCAGUUCCAUAUGAGAUCAGCUUUUCCAUUUUUCCUACAAGGCCACUGGAAGUUUUUUUUGGGGGGGUUGUGCCGUACAGCUUGUGGGAUCUUAGUUCCCCAACCAGGGAUUGAACCUGGACCCUUAGCAGUCAAAAUGCCAAGUCCUCACCCAUUGGACCGCCAGGUCUCUGGUCCGGGCUGACGGUCUUCCAAACCCUCUUCUACCUGGUGUACGUCUGGAGGAUCGACUGGAACCGUGCGGCAGAGCAGAUCUGUCCAACCUGGAGAAAGAAGCACUGGCUGGGGCCAUCCUGCUGGACCUCACCUGACCCAAGAGCCAGACUGCGCAGCUAAUCAGGGCAGCCCCUGCCAUGACGUCCUGAUGGGGACUCAGCUGACUGUGUUAGGGCCGAGCGGCUGCAGUUUUGGCUGUUGCUGUCCUCGCAGUGGGAAUUUUAAUAAGACUCUUCACUGACCAUGGCUGAAAUGGAAUCAUCCCAGCCCCAAACUACCAGUGAGAACAAUAUGCCACACGUGCCGCAUGGGAGGUGAGCUCUUCACCUGGACCGUGGCUUCGGUCCCAGCCGAGCAGGAAAGGGAUGCCAGCUUCAUGUUCUUAUUCUGAAGAUUCACAUGAUCAUCCUGGACAUCAAGAAAAGCAUUACAAUUUUAAGUGAACUUUUCUCCCAAAUGUUAACUCUUAUCGUGGUUUUUAAGUCUGCACGUUGGUGUCCCUGGCUGGCUGUGUUCUUUAUCCCACCUUACAUUUAACACCUUCUGUCUUCCAGGAGAGCAGGUCCUCUAGCAGUAACUGCUGGCCACGGUGUGUGUGUGGCACUCUUGUGUGUCCAGUCUCAUGUGUGAGUGUGCAUGAAGUCCUGUCUCGGGCAGUGCCAUGCAAGCUUUUAAAAAAU
ensembl:lncRNA